UGGGGAAUUUUGGACAAUGGGGGAAACCCUGAUCCAGCCAUCCCGCGUGUUCGAUGAAGGCCUUCGGGUUGUAAAGCACUUUUGUCAGGAAAGAAACGUCAUGGGUUAAUACCCCGCGAAACCGACGGUACCUGCAGAAUAAGCACCGGCUAACUACGAGCCAGCAGCCGCGUUAUUACGCAGGGUGCAAGCGUUAAUCGGAAUUACUGGGCGUAAAGCGUGCGCAGGCGGUUCGGAAAGAAAGAUGUGAAAUCCCAGAGCUCAACUUUGGAACUGCGUUUUUAACUGCCGGGCUAUCGUGUGUCAGAGGGAGGUGGAAUUCCGCGUGUAGCAGUGAAAUGCGAAGAUAUGCGGAAGAACACCGAUGGCGAAGGCAGCCUCCUGGGAUAACACUGACGCUCAUGCACGAAAGCGUGGGGAGCAAACAGG
rnacentral:rRNA from 1 species